GAUGAACGCUGGCGGCGUGCCUAAUACAUGCAAGUCGAGCGAACAGACGAGGAGCUUGCUCCUCUGACGUUAGCUGCGGACGGGUGAGUAACACGUGGAUAACCUACCUAUAAGACUGGGAUAACUUCGGGAAACCGGAGCUAAUACCGGAUAAUAUAUUGAACCGCAUGGUUCAAUAGUGAAAGACGGUUUUGCUGUCACUUAUAGAUGGAUCCGCGCCGCAUUAGCUAGUUGGUAAGGUAAAGGCUUACCAAGGCGACGAUGCGUAGCCGACCUGAGAGGGUGAUCGGCCACACUGGAACUGAGAAAAGGUCCAGACUCCUAAGGGAGGCAGCAGUAGGGAAUCUACCGCAAAGGGCGAAAGCCUGAAGGAGCAACGCCGCGUGAGUGAUGAAGGUCUUCGGAUCGUAAAACUCUGUUAUUAAGGAAGAACAAAUGUGUAAGUAAAUAUGCAAGUCUUGACGGUACCUAAUCAGAAAGACACGGCUAACUACGUG
rnacentral:rRNA from 1 species